CGCCUGCCACCAUACCUGGCUAAUCUUUGCAUUUUUAGUAGAGAUGGGGUUUCACCAUGUGGCCAGGCUGGCUUGAGCCACUGCGCCAGCAAACUCAUUCUUCUUCUUACAGACUCUCUUAUUUGAGUUCACCUAAAAGCCUGAGAUAAGGAAUUGGAUGUACAGAAUUUAUUUGCAUGGCCAUCCCAGGAAACACUUGGAAGUAGGGGAGUGGGAAAGGAAGACAGGGAGGGGUAGGCAGCCAGGAAAAGGGUUAUCGAGCAGGUUACACUGUGGAUAACGGGGGCUUGAUUCCACCAGACCUCUGGGAGCCCAUGAAUAACACCUCGGAGUUCUCCUGCCUGCGGAGUUGGGGAGCAGGGUAUUUAUCUACUAGGUCCUAUGGGGGCAGGGGUGUUCAUUCUCAGGCACCUCUGACCUGCUUCACAGGCGGGAAGAGUGUGCUCCAGAGUUGUUAAAGAAAGUCUUUAGGUAAAGAGACACAGUGGGCUGGGCACACCACCGUGCCCAGCCUUUUUUUCUUUUUUGAUAUAGUGUCUCACUCUG
rnacentral:lncRNA from 10 species